GUACACUCCUACGGGAGGCAGCAGUGGGGAAUUUUGGACAAUGGGCGAAAGCCUGAUCCAGCAAUGCCGCGUGUGUGAAGAAGGCCUUCGGGUUGUAAAGCACUUUUGUCCGGAAAGAAAUCCUUGGCUCUAAUACAGUCGGGGGAUGACGGUACCGGAAGAAUAAGCACCGGCUAACUACGUGCCAGCAGCCGCGGUAAUACGUAGGGUGCGAGCGUUAAUCGGAAUUACUGGGCGUAAAGCGUGCGCAGGCGGUUUGCUAAGACCGAUGUGAAAUCCCCGGGCUCAACCUGGGAACUGCAUUGGUGACUGGCAGGCUAGAGUAUGGCAGAGGGGGGUAGAAUUCCACGUGUAGCAGUGAAAUGCGUAGAGAUGUGGAGGAAUACCGAUGGCGAAGGCAGCCCCCUGGGCCAAUACUGACGCUCAUGCACGAAAGCGUGGGGAGCAAACAGGAUUAGAAACCCCGGUAGUCCCAUGAU
rnacentral:rRNA from 1 species